GAUGAACGCUGGCGGCGUGCCUAAUACAUGCAAGUCGAGCGAACGGACGAGAAGCUUGCUUCUCUGAUGUUAGCGGCGGACGGGUGAGUAACACGUGGAUAACCUACCUAUAAGACUGGGAUAACUUCGGGAAACCGGAGCUAAUACCGGAUAAUAUUUUGAACCGCAUGGUUCAAAAGUGAAAGACGGUCUUGCUGUCACUUAUAGAUGGAUACGCGCUGCAUUAGCUAGUUGGUAAGGUAACGGCUUACCAAGGCAACGAUGCAUAGCCGACCUGAGAGGGUGAUCGGCCACACUGGAACUGAGACACGGUCCAGACUCCUACGGGAGGCAGCAGUAGGGAAUCUUCCGCAAUGGGCGAAAGCCUGACGGAGCAACGCCGCGUGAGUGAUGAAGGUCUUCGGAUCGUAAAACUCUGUUAUUAGGGAAGAACAUAUGUGUAAGUAACUGCGCACAUCUUGACGGUACCUAAUCAGAAAGCCACGGCUAACUACGUG
rnacentral:rRNA from 1 species